UUCCAAGCAAGAUGUACUUUUGUUUGGAUCCUAUCGGCGGGGAAAAAAGUACUUACGGCGACGGUGACAAGAAAUAGCGCUGAUUGCGAGAUUACCAGAUCCAGAAGAUCCGGAAGGGCUGUUACAAGUAAUUGGUUUUGCUAGAGCAAAAGGAGGUUGACAAUGAUUGCAACAGGUGAAAUAAACUGUUGGAAUCACGACUAUCGAUCACGCCAGAAGAUCCGGAAAGAGUUGUUGAAAGUAAUUGGUUUUGCUCAAAUGCUAGAGCACAAGGAGGUUGACGAUGAUUGCAACAGGAAAAUAAUCAGUAGCAGCUGGUAUGGCUUCUUCACAUGGUUGUUUCCGCAUCCUUUUUCUGCACAAUAAUACGGCAUCUGAAGAAAAUAAGAUAUUCACAAUAUAAUUUUGGCAUGAUAGAGAACCGCGAGAUGAACGAUUAUCUGUGGAGGAGUUGGACAACAGAUUUCUUAGACUUAUAGCCCUUUAAUCACACUCACAAGCUCUUCAAAUCCUCACUGUCCCCCAAAACUAUUGAAUAAUAUGUAAUAUAAAUACCUUAUUGCAGCUCUAGUACACUAUUUUUCACGAAUAUAUAUUUGCUUAUUUCUUUCUUCAGUUGUUUUCCUCAGCGAGUUGAUAUGAAACCAUAACGACACAACCAAACAAAAAGUAAACAAUGCAGAAAGCUACGUCUCGCAACUCGUCUCACGUAUUGUCAUGAAAGUGUCAAGAACGAAACACCUAUAGUUUAGCAUCUUGGAUAGAA